rnacentral:rRNA from 1 species
AUACAGAGGGUGCAAGCGUUAUUCGGAAUUACUGGGCGUAAAGCGCGCGUAGGCGGAUGAUUAAGUCAGUUGAGAAAGCCCUGGGCUCAACCUAGGAACUGCAUCUGAUACUGGUCGUCUAGAGUUUAAGAGAGGGAAGUGGAAUUCCAGGUGUAGCAGUGAAAUGCGUAGAUAUCUGGAGGAACAUCAGUGGCGAAGGCGACUUCCUGGCUUAAAACUGACGCUGAGGUGCGAAAGCGUGGGUAGCGAACGGGAUUAGAUACCCCAGUAGUCC